UUUCCGUUGGUGAACCAGCGGAAGGAUCAUUACAGAGUUCAUGCCCUUCGGGGUAGACCUCCCACCCUGUUUAAUUACUAUUGUUGCUUUGGCAGGCUGCCCUCACCAUGGGGCGUCCGGGUUCCGCCCGCGUCUUGCCUGCCUGAAGCCCCCUAAUUCUGUGUUCUGUGUCGUCUGAGUACUAUAUAAUAAGUUAAAACUUUCAACAACGGAUCUCUUGGUUCUG
rnacentral:misc_RNA from 1 species